AUUUCUCUGAGAUGUUUGCAAGUGGGCCAGUCCCCUGAGCCGAUAUUUCAAACAAACAGAAUGUGACGCUCCGUAACCUGUGAGCAUGCCCGGUCCGUCCGGGAAGCCUAAUGGUUGCGACGGCAUGUUCACCUUGAACCAAGGGUUCAAGGGUUACAGCCUACGGCGGCAUCUCGGAGAUUCC
rfam:Pantoea sp. PSNIH2, complete genome.